CCCAUCAGUAUAUCUGAUGAUGGGUAUGGCCCAGUUUGUAGAACUUGCCCAAAGUCUUAAAACAACUCACCUCCACUGACUGAGAGCCAAGCUGUUCCCUCAGAAACAGAGACCAAUGGGCAAGGAAAAAAGCUAUCUAUGCAGAAGCAAAUGGGCUGCUUCAGUGAUUUAAAUGCUUCUGUCUCUGGGACAACCUAAUUCAAUUGAACUCUUUAAGUUUUCCUUUGUUGGUGUGCUUUGUUCCAGGCCAGAUAUUUGCAUUUCCUUAAGAGAGAGGAGGAGAGCUGAUUGGGCCACUGGUAGCCUAACUUGCACCAUUGGGAGAAAGGCUUUGCCAUCUCCAGUUUGAGAAUCUGAAUGAUAGUGUAGCACUUCCCAAUUCCACUACUUCUGAAUCCUUGAAGAAGGGAGAAUCAUUGCCUGCAGGGAGAAGAGCACUGGAAUUAAUGGUAUCUUUCAGGAGAUCUCUCAUGAGUAUGGAUCCUUUAUUGUCAGUUGUAUAUAUCCAUAGCAAAUUGAAAGAAUGUUUAUUUCAGCGCGGCUAAGAAAAAUGUGCCGUACAAGAAUAUGCUAUCCGUUAAUUGACAUGUUACAGCAUGUGAUAGACAAAAGACAUGGUCUCUAGGAUGAUUUAAUCUCACAGUUUCAAACUUAAAUCUUUUGUCUUUCCUGUUUAUUACAGCAUAAACUUAUUAACAGUUCUCCAAAUAACAUGGUCAAUAAAAAGGAGAGCAAGCCCAAGGGCUUUCUUCUUUUCUUUCUUUUCUUUUUUGGCACCUCAAAACGCAAAUCUCUCACAAAGCAAAAACAAACAGACAAACUUAGAGCUGCCAAUGAGCAGUAGCAUCAGAAAGUUAUUUGCAGAUGUCUGGAAGCAAGUUUCUCUUACUGGCCAUUUAAAUAUGGGAACAAACAAGUAACAGCUUAUAUCUUUGAAAACUUUCACAUGUCUUCAAAAGCAAGAAGAAACAUGACAAGCAGGAAGAAACUGUAGUGAUUGAAGGUCCCUUAAUUACAAUGAAGAGUUUUGUGGGGACUCUCCAAUCUAUGGGAUAGAUGCUAAGCUUUAUAUUACAUUUUGAUACAUUCAGAUUGUUGGGGUUUGCAAAUUGCCUUAACUGGGUAGUAACAUGGAGUCAAAGAAAGAAAGGAUUUAGAACUUAGACUUAGACUUAAACUAACUUUAUUAUCACUUUAA